AACGAACGCUGGCGGCAGGCCUAACACAUGCAAGUCGAACGCCUAGUUUACUAGGAGUGGCGCACGGGUGCGUAACGCGUGGGAAUAUACCCUUUGGUACGGAACAACGUCUGGAAACGGACGCUAAUACCGUAUAAUGACUCCGGUCCAAAGAUUUAUCGCCAAGGGAUUAGCCCGCGUUAGAUUAGUUUGUUGGUGAGGUAAAAGCUCACCAAGACUACGAUCUAUAGCUGGUCUGAGAGGAUGAUCAGCCACACUGGGACUGAGACACGGCCCAG
rnacentral:rRNA from 1 species